AGCGGCGGACGGGUGAGUAACACGUGGGUAACCUGCCUGUAAGACUGGGAUAACUUCGGGAAACCGAAGCUAAUACCGGAUAGUUUCGAGCAUCGCAUGAUGCUUGAUGGAAAGACGGUUUCGGCUGUCACUUACAGAUGGACCCGCGUCGCAUUAGCUAGUUGGUGAGGUAAUGGCUCACCAAGGCGACGAUGCGUAGCCGACCUGAGAGGGUGAUCGGCCACACUGGGACUGAGACACGGCCCAG
rnacentral:rRNA from 1 species